AUUCACUAUUAAUCUUUAGUGAUUUAAAGCCACAAAGUUUCCCUGAUAUGUACAGCAAUCUCACGUGCUUUACAAAACCAAAAAUUCUCUUAUUUCUGCCAGCUUCAAAAAAUCACCUCACAGAAAUAGCUUCUGAAAGUUAUUAUUUCUCUUAUUUCUGCCCAAGCUUCAAACAGAAAUUGAACAAGAAACUUUAAUAUACACACACGAGGUAGCUUUUAUACGUGCUUACAUUAGAAAACACAAUCCAAAUACGAGUUGUAAUGCCUCCUGUUAAAUUCUAACAAGCCACCAUAAGUCCUAUCAGCAACCCCUACAAAGAGAGCUGCUGCAUCAGGGCUGAAGGAUAUACCAGCA
rnacentral:misc_RNA from 1 species